CACAGCACCUCUCUGAACCAGGGCCUCUGGUCUCACCUGGUCACCAGCUCUGCCUGAGUCCUUCCCUCCAGGACCUUCUCUCCAGAAUAGCCCAGAUCCCCCAGUGUCUACUCACAGCUGGUUGCUCAGGAAGGACAGGGUCUGCCCACACAGCAAGGACCUUGGAGAGCAAUUCUUAACCCAAGGUCUGCAGCACUGGGUCAGGCAGUGCAGGUAGGAGCAUACUUAGUGUCUUUCUUGGGCCCUGUGGGCAGCCACGGAGCCCCCUACACACUGGCCCAUGCCUGCAGGUUGCCCAUCAUUCUCCUGUCUGAUUUCACCCCACUUCUGUGCAUGAGUGACUCUUGCCUGAACUCUUUUCUAAUCCCCUUGUGGGUUUUCCUCAAGAGCACAUGCUGUUAACCUGGGGUCCACAGAUGCCCCUUCUCACCCAGAGGUCUGGGAAUAGAAUUCAGGGGUCCAUGAAUGUGGGGGUUGUUUUAUUCUUUUUUUCUCUUUUCUACCUUUCCUAUGAUGCUGCCAUUCAUGAGUUCAGACGGUAAAAAAAAAUGCCUCCUUAUUUUCACUAGGCUCCAACUGAAAGGUAGCCUCUCCUUUCAACAUGGACGUAGGAAAAAUCUCCAGUUGUAUUUGCAGAACCUCAAGCUUUGUCACCAGCCCAGCCAAACUCACAGGCAUUUUUAAAUCACAUCUGAGUUGUUGCAGGUCUUUUCAAAUAUCAUUUAUAUUAUCACCACUUUAAAGUGAUCACAAUUAAAGUGUCAAUAAAGAAGCACACAUAUUACUACAUCAGAGCUGUUUUCUUAAUGCUUUGGUAAAUGUAUUUUAGUAGCAUUGGUUUCUUCUGCAGCCCUGUGAAUUUUGUUUUACACAUUUGAAAACAUUAUUCUGAGAAGGGGUCCAUCCAUAGGCUUCACCACAUGCCCAUGGGGUUUAUGCUACGUGAAAGGUCAAGUCCUAGAAUUCUCACACUCUUCAGUAGAAAAUCACACCCCUAAAUGUGUCCCUCUCCACUAGUAAUUAUGCUUUUGGUGUUCUCCUGAUUGAGAAAAAGUUUUAAUAGCAACAGCCAUUAUGCAAUGCUUGCCUUGAAACAAAUGUGCAUUUUAUUCAUUACAGUAGUAUCUCCUAACAUUUGAAAAACAGCAGCCACAUCAGUAGGAAAGCUGUCCUAAGCCAGUCUGGUUCCCUGGCCCCACCAUUCAGGUCCACUGAGUUAGACCAUGUGGAUCUACUAGGCAGAGGCCUUGGGCCUCAGAUUGAGUAAGCCCCAUGCUCCCGGCACGAGGCUGAGCCCCAGGAAUCACUCAACAGGCAUGAGCUGACUGGAGCUGCCCUGAAUUUGCUGGCCAGGGUGGAACAUGGCCGGCUGGGUCUCCUUACUUCUCCCCCAGCCUCUUAGCCCAUUUGGCGCUAAGUUGCCAGACUUUGCAAAUAAAAAUAAGAAUGCCAGGUUAAAUUUGAAUUUCAAACAAAUAAUGAAUAAUUUUUAGUAUAAAUAUGUUCCAUGCAAUAUUUAUGACAUACUAUACUAAAAAGUUAUUCAUUGUUUAUCAGAAACUCUAUGCUCUAGGAGCCUGUUCCCAGAGAAGUCCUUGCCAGGACCAGCAGAAGCUGUGCCGAAACCCAGAUUCUCUGCUGAGACUUCUACCUCUGCCCCGGGUCUGGCCGCGGAGAGACACCAUUCAGGGUAGGGAGUAGGGCCAGGGAGGUGCCCAACAGCAGCCCAUAGCCCCCACGGCCCACACUUCAAGCCAUGCCCCACCCCUGGCUAGGUCUCAGAUCCCCAGCCGUAAAAUGAGAGAACUAGUCCAGGGUGGAACUCUAAACUCCAUCGUGGCUCAGAAUUAGAUUUAAUAACCCGAUAGUCUUUACUGCAGGAAAGAAUCUUUAACUUCCACUAGCAUGAGGAGGAUGUUUGCAGACCCAGAAGGCCUCCACACUCAGCCCUCCUGAAGCAGCAGGCCUGUGCUACCUCCAUUCACGUCAGCCCUGGAGCCCCCUCAUGCAGCAGAAGCUCCCACAAAUCAGCCCACCACGGCACUGUUAGAAAGGACCCAAGGGCCAGGUACCCACACACAGCAGCAGAAACACAGAUGCACUCAGCUGGGGAGCAGGGGGGCAGAGAAACCCAGAGGGGUGUCAAUGCAGAGAAGCCCUCACACACACGGACCGAGAAGCAUUCCUACAUGGUGCACACCCGGCACACACGUGCCCUCACCCAGAGCAUGCAUGCAUGCCCCACACAGACACACACCCAGACGGUGCAGACCACACUCCUGCACCCUCACACACUCACCACACAUGAUCUCACACACAUUCCCCGAAAGCAACAGGAACACAGCCAAUCUCAGCUGCAUCCCCAGCCACCCCACAUCUGUGGUCCUCAUCCUGUACCCCAAAUGUCCAAGGUGUUCCUGGGCUAAACCUUCUCCCAACUGCCUCUGCAAGCUGCUUGGAGGGCGGUGGGGUUGUGGGGAAAGCCAGGCAGUGCUUUGUUUUUCACAUCAGGCUAAAGCAAUAGAUCACCUGAAAGUUGGAUUCUGGAAAUCAAGAUGUUAACUUGAAUGGUGAUGAUGAUGACAACAGCAGCAGCAAAAGCCACACUUGCCAGCACCCACUGAGCACAAUCUAUGCCCCAGCAACCACGCUAAAUGCUUAACAUACAUUCCCUCAUUCAACCCUCACAACAAUCCAUAACGUAGGAACUGAUACUUUGCUCAUUUAUAGAUGAGGAAGCUGAGGCUCGGAGGAGUUCAAUGUCUCUGUGGAGAUUCCAGCAUCUGACCCAGGGCCAACUCCAAAAUGUAGCCUUACCUGCAGAGCCGCACGAUAGGACCCAGGGAUGUUUCAGCCCAGUCGCGGUGCAGCCAGUGUGCACAGGCACAUGCGCGCACACACACACACACACCCCACUUGCAGAAGGGGCUGCUUGGGCAACAGUUUCCUUGUGGAAAGUGCUAAAAAGGCCUUGACUGGCAGAGAGGCUUAUUCUCCUCCAAGGCCAAUCCUUUCCUGGUGAGGUGUGGACCCCAGAUAGAGCUCUCCCCCAUAAGGCAGGUCUGUGAGAUCCGGAGAGGGAGGUGCUCCAGGUCCCCUUGAUAACCAGAGACCAGGUUAUCUCUGAGAGGACUGAGAGGAUAUCAGUGGGCUCACUUUCCCCUGCCCUCUGUGUGGACCCCUGCCCCAGAGAGCCAGAGCUAGGCCCCUGGUGGCACAAGAGGUUUUCACACCAGGAGAGUGCCACCUCCGCUCUGCAGCCAAGCGCCCUGCGCCACUCGAGCCCACCCCAGGAGGGCACAGAGACAGCCCCUGAAGAGCCCUCAGAGAGGCCCGUCUCAGGGUGACCAGCCUCUGGGACAUUCUUAACCCCAACCAAAGUGGGGCCACCCUGUGGAGCCUCCACCUCUGCAUGGGGGCCUGGCUAACAGCUGCUCCCAGCUGGAAGUUCUUUAUGCGCCCCCACCCAGUCAGUCCCCAGGAGACGUGAAGGAAGCUUUGAUGGAACCUAUCAAAGCAUUCUUGUUCUCACAGCUGUUUCCCGGAAGGGCAAUUAUAGCCACAAUAACCCUACACAUCUGGUGAAGGGGCCCAAAGCCGGUACUCUACCCUCAGCUCUGCUGGAGGGGUCCUGCCCAUCAGCAGAGGGAAAAAGGACUUGUGCACAUCAGAGACUCAGUUUAGAACCCUAAACCAUUAGAACUGGAAGGGGCCACCCUAUCCCCAUUUUACAGAUGACUAAACUGAGGCCAAGCCUGUACCCAAAGAGCUCCUCACACAGAGCCCUCUUCCCCCACGGACUCCCUCUCUAGACAGACCCUGGCUCCUCCUCCUCUAGCUCAGGUGGGCCUCCACUUAGACACUACCAGCCCAAGAAAGGCCGUGGGAGGGACCUGGGACUGCGAUGGUCAUAUGGAGGGGAGGCUCCUGCUCUGUCUCCUUCAGAGGGAUGAUUUGCUCCUGCCUGAGCCAUUGCCUCUUCUUGGAUGCUAUAUUUAUACCUCAAUCUAUGAAUUUAUUUCAAUCAGGAUUUCUAACCUGGGCACUGCUGACAUAUUGGGCUGGGCAGUUCUUUGUUGGGGUUGGGGCUGGCCUGUGCAUCGUGGGGUGUCACAGCAUCCCUGACCUCCAUCCACUAGAUGCCAGUAGCACCGCCCCCUCCCCAAGUUGUGACAAUCAAAAUUAUCUCUAGACAUUGACGAAUGUCCCCUGGGGACAAAACUGUGCCCAGUUGAAAACCACUGACUUAAAUGGGCUUCAGUGAGCAUGUUGAGACUGUCCCCUGGGUCUUCCCAGGGGUGCAAGGAAGAAGGUGCCAUAGAUCUUCCUUCCUGAGGCGUGGAGCAUCUACUAUGGGCAGAUGGGAUAAAGCAGCGUGUGUCAGGAAAUCCUGCGCAAGUCUAAAGCUGGGAAAAACCACAGAGGCUGAGAUCCAGCAAGGCAGGCUUCCUGGACAAGGUGAAAUUCCACUGGGGACUUAUGUAGGCAGUUGAGGGAGAAGGGAUUUUGAGGGGAAAGUCUCAAACACAGUAAGCAGAGCCCAGGAUGUGGGAUGACUGGGAGAGCAUCCUGGAAGGAUGGCACUGCUGGCUGGAUUUUAAUCUGGUGUGGGGGGGGGCGGGGUGUCUGUUUGCCUCAGCUGCCUUCCUCCCAGAGCAGGUCCCUGAGCCCAGGGAGCAGGGAAGACACUGAGGAGGAAGGAGGGAAGGGGGAUGGUAGGGUAGGGGAUAAGGGCAUGUCUGAGAUCCCAGAGGGCCAGUUACGGGCUUCUCCUCCCAGAAUCCCCAGCACCCAAUACAGAACCAGCCUAAGGAAAAGCUGAGAUGAUGAAGCCACCGACUUGAAGAAAAGGUCCGACGGAGAAGAAAGGCACCUGGGAUCCGGAGGGCUGGGAGCACCGCCACUGAUGCCAACGGGGGCCCAGCCUGAGGGCGAGCCAGGGACCUUACCAGCCCCAGCCUGAUUUCCCAGGGUCUGUCCUUGCCCGAUGUCCCUCCCUCAAAGUCCAUGUGGGAUGGGAGCGGGGUGGGGGCAGCCCUAAUCAAGGGAUGGCUGCUGGACUUGGAGCUGACCACUGGCUCCCUGGCAGGCCUUAGACCUUCCGCAGAAGGAUUUCAGCAGGUUCCUCAGAGCAGAAUGGUAUGCUCCUUGACCUCGGGAGCUCCCUUCUCAGACAAAAGCCCCGGUUCCCCACGCCCCGUCUGGGCUCCCUGAGGCCUGGCUGCACGUCCCUCCUCCGAUAGGGCUCCCUGAGGGCAGGGUCCGCUCCUUCCGCGUGGUCCCUGCGGGGAAACGCCGUGUGGGGCUGGGGCUGCCCACAGGGAGCUUCUGGGCCGGCUAGCCAGCAGGGGGCGCUGUGGACUCAGACACGCGGCUCUGGCCAAGGAUGGGAGGCGGCUGGAUGGAUGGUGAGGUCUCCCUACAGCAACUCUUGUCAUAUCCCCCGCCCAGCCAGGCUCUCCUGCCUUGCACACAGCGAGGUCUCCACCUCCUCACAACUUCCCAGCCCAGCCCCAUUGUUCUCCCUGUCCUCUGGCUGAGGAAGCAAGAGAAGCAAUUAUUAUGCCCAUUUUGCAGAUGAGGAGACUAAGGUCAUUCAGAUGCCAAAAGAAAGGCAGAAGGGGCAGCAGCAGGGCAGAGUGGAUAGCAUCUGGACUUUGGAGCUAGAAGCCACUGGUGUACUGUGUGCCACCUCAGCGGCUCAGUCCCCGUGUGGUUGCAGCAACCCUUGGGGCCUUAUUGAGCAAAGCACUGCAGUUGCAACCAGGGAGAGGAGUGCGGCAGCCCACACAGUCCCCGGCUGAGAACGAGUCUGACACUGGACCCUGCCGCCGGUGUGGACAGCACUGGGUCCUGGGGAGGAAGUGCUGCAGAGGGGAAGAGGCGGCCUCGCCCAAGCCCUCUGCUGGGUGGAGAUCACAGACAGCCAGAAAGGGGGAAGAACAGGAGGACUGUGCUGGAGAGACCUGGUCCCUCUGCACUUUCUCCCAGGUCCUAGCAAGUCAUCAAAACAGCGGGUGCCGCAUGGACGCCCUGUGCUGCCCUUCACGGUGUGCCAGGCCCAACCACCCACCCUGGGAGGCAGGUUAUGUUAUCCUCCCAUUUGACAGAUGAGGAAAGGAAGACCGAGAGAGAGAAAGUCACUUGUCCGAGGUCCCCAGUGGGAAGUGGGUAAAACGGGAUACCCACACCCAGGUCUGCCUGGUAUGUAGCCACAACAUAGGGUUGGUGGAGCUACAGUCUAGGUAGAGAGAAGAAGGCCCUGUCUGUGGCCAGGGUCGGGGCUGAGUCUGUAACUGGGAAGGCACCCCAGGGAGGAGCAUGCUCAGCAGGAAGUGGACAGAGUAGGGGCAUGGAGGAAGGAGCACCAGCCAUGUGUCUCCAGUCAGGAAAGCCUCCUGGAGGAGGCAGUGAAGGGGGAAGAGGAGGAGAGGAGGGCCUUGCCAGCAGCCUGAGCACUGGUAAUGAAGCAGGGCCCCAGCCUCUUGGCUGGCCAGUGAACACUUCCAAGAACCUUCAUACUUAAUACCUCUAUCACUCCUCCACUCAACAGGUGAGGAAACAUCAGUCCAGUGAGAGUGGCAUGUGUGGGGAGGAGCCCAGGCUUGCUCUGACCUCUCUCUGGGGCCCCCCACUCCAGAAGGUUGGAACAGCAUUCUACAGCAUUCCAGGAUGUGGAGGGGGCAGCAGUGUUUGUGUGCAGAGUGGCGAGGCCGACCUCCGAUGAGCUUCCCGUAGGAAGGGUGCAGUGGGGGGUGCUCACCCUGCCCAGGGAUGCUAUCUGCUCCAGGACUUGUUUAUCAGCCCACGGGGUGAUCGGCAUGACAUCAAUGGAUAUGCCAGGCUGCAGGCUACAGUGCCGAGAAGGAGAAGACGGAGGCGGUGGUGAUGUCACCCAAGGAAUUAAGUAAGCAGGGGAGCUGAUAACAUCGUCCAGCCAGGCUCACUGUGGGCAGGGUGACUCACUGAAGACGGCCUGCGAUCGCCAGGUGAUUGUUGUUGUGCCCAGCCUGUGGGGCUGGGGAGGAGGAAGGGGGGCAGGCCACAGAGCUGUGACAAGUUCCUCACCGAGGCCCCUGCUCAGGGGAGAGACCUCAGUACACAGUGUCCUCCACCUCUGAGCCCGGGGCUGGCUCAGGAAACAGCCCCCCUCUGCCUGUGCGAUUAUCUUUGUCCACAGUGUUUGGUGUGUGUUUGUGGGGUGUGUCAGGUGAUUUUCCUGCCCGAAGCCUGCUGGGUGCUCCAGGUACUAGCGAUUGCUCACAGCAGAGCAGUAGCCCCCUCCCUGGUUGGACAACUGUCUGUGGAGACAACACCGGAUGGCAAACUGCUAACCGCAACCACGUGGCGUCCUUACAGAGGGAACAGCCUGUUCCUCCCGCUGAGGGCACCUGCAGACCUGCCCCAUUCAUGGCUCCCUUCUCCCUCAGUCCCUGCUGAGGGGAUGGUCCCUUCCCACCCUUAAGGGCACCAUGGACUGUUGUCCAAGUUGAGAACUGUCCAACUGCAGGGGGCACCAUUCACUUGGCAGUCUUCGUGCCAGAUGCUAUGGCUGUCCACAGUGGCCCUGCCCCUUCCCUUUUGUAAAUUACUUCUCAGUUCCCUCCUCCACCAGAAUUAUCACACCAAACUUUCCCCCAUGUAUGCUUGCUUCUUUAUCACCUGACACUCUCAUUCAUUCAUUCCACAAAAAAAUUGUGGCGUUUGUGCAAGGUACUAUUCUAGGCAAGGGAACAAGACAGACCCUCCUGGAGCUCAUGGAGUUCAUAUUCUAGCAUGGGGGAGAACCAAUAAAUAAAUAAUUGGAUACAUAAAACUGCAAGUGACAAUAAGUGCUACAAAGAAAACUAAAGCCAGCCCAGGAUAGAGGGUGAUAGUGCCCUACUUCAGCUAGGACUGCCAGAAAGGCUUCUCUGUGGGGAGGUGGCCUCUGAGGGGAGACCUGGAGGCAGCAAAGGAGGAAGCCUUCCCGGCAGAGCCCCUCCCAUUGGCACCCAAUGCCAAAAGAAGUUUCUAUAACCCGUCCUGGUUCUGCCAGGAGCCUGCGGCAUGGCCUGGGGCGCUCAAUUCCCAGUGCAGGGUGUCUAUUUCUUCCCCCAACAAACAAGAGGCCUAGUCGCAUAGUCUCUUCCAGCACAA
rnacentral:lncRNA from 1 species